rnacentral:rRNA from 1 species
AUUGAACGCUGGCGGCAGGCUUAACACAUGCAAGUCGAGCGGAGCGGCGGACGGGUGAGUAAUGCCUAGGAAUCUGCCUGGUAGUGGGGGAUAACGUCCGGAAAUGGGCGCUAAUAUUGCAUACUCUCAGCUGAGCCUAGGUCGGAUUAGCUAGUUGGUGGGGUAAAGGCCUACCAAGGCGACGAUCCGUAACUGGUCUGAGAGGAUGAUCAGUCACACUGGAACUGAGACACGGUCCAGACUCCUACGGGAGGCAGCAGUGGGGAAUAUUGGACAAUGGGCGAAAGCCUGAUCCAGCCAUGCCGCGUGUGUGAAGAAGGUCUUCGGAUUGUAAAGCACUUUAAGUUGGGAGGCGUUACCAGCAGAAUAAGCACCGGCUAACUUCGUGCCAGCAGCCGCGGUAAUUC